UAGGGAAUCUUCGGCAAUGGGGGCAACCCUGACCGAGCAACGCCGCGUGAGUGAAGAAGGUUUUCGGAUCGUAAAGCUCUGUUGUAAGAGAAGAACGUGUGUGAGAGUGGAAAGUUCACACAGUGACGGUAACUUACCAGAAAGGGACGGCUAACUACGUGCCAGCAGCCGCGGUAAUACGUAGGUCCCGAGCGUUGUCCGGAUUUAUUGGGCGUAAAGCGAGCGCAGGCGGUUUAAUAAGUCUGAAGUUAAAGGCAGUGGCUUAACCAUUGUUCGCUUUGGAAACUGUUAAACUUGAGUGCAGAAGGGGAGAGUGGAAUUCCAUGUGUAGCGGUGAAAUGCGUAGAUAUAUGGAGGAACACCGGUGGCGAAAGCGGCUCUCUGGUCUGUACUGACGCUGAGGCUCGAAAGCGUGGGGAGCAAACAGG
rnacentral:rRNA from 1 species